GUGCUUAACACAUGCAAGUCGAACGAGGUUUGUAGCAAUACAAAUACUCGUGGCGAACGGGUGCGUAACACGUGGAUAACCUUCCUUCAGGUGGGGAAUAACCCAGUGAAAAUUGGGCUAAUGCCGCAUAACAAGACGGGGGCACAUGCUCUUGUCUUCAAAGGCGCAAGUCGCCGGAAGAGGGAUCCGCGGCCGAUUAGCUUGUUGGCGGGGUAACGGCCACCAAGGCAAGAUCGGUACCGGCUGAAGGAUGGCCGGCACACUGGAACUGAGACACGGUCCA
rnacentral:rRNA from 1 species